UCUUUAUCCUUCUUUCUCUGGCCUGGGGUCCCAGUUUAUCUUGUCCCUGGGCAUGCUUUUUGCCCAGGGUGCUUUUUUUUUAAGAGCUCCUCAUACUAGCCAUAAAGAGAAACAUGCAGUAAGGAAGGAGGAAAAGAAAGCUAGGUUUCGAGCGUUGCAAACAAGAACUCUUGGGCAGAUUGCAGAAAGAGAAUCCUGGCUUGGAAAGUGUUGCCAGCUGGUCUCGUACCCACAUCUUUUCAGUAAAUUUCUCUCAAGCAUAUGUACACAUACAAAUACGCCUUCUGUUGAAGGCAAUGAAAUAAUCUUUCCCCAUGGAGGCUGGAGAAAAUAUGCUGAACCAUGAAACUGAAGCGAUGCUUUUGGUCUGGGUAUGUUUCUUCAUGGAGCAGAGACUGUUGUCACCAUCUCUGAGCUGUGCGGGACUCGGAUAUUCAGCAGGUUGGAGUGGCCCCCCGGAAGCAUCAUUCUGAGUAUGGAAGUUCCCCCCGGGACAUGCUAAUCUCGUUCUCUGCCCACCUUGGCUAAAAUGACUCCACAGGCAGCCCCAGCACCUUCCCCUUUUACUACCUUCACAGAAUAGACCAGUCUUGCAAAUCACCUUA